rnacentral:rRNA from 1 species
GACGAACGCUGGCGGCGUGCUUAACACAUGCAAGUCACGGGGGCCCGCCCUUCGGGGAGGGCAACCGGCGAACGGGUGCGUAACACGUGAGCGACCUGCCCCGGUCAGGGGGAUAGCCGG